AUUAAGGAAUGCAAGGACUGAAUAAAAAGUUAACUUUGCUUUUGAUUUUUACACUGAUUCACAAAGGGUCUUGAAACAUCAUGCCUCAAGUGUUCACCCUGAAGAGCUCUCAUAAAGGUGAAGAGUGGUGUCAGUGGCGUACCAGAACAUCAAUAUUAAACCAAGAGGAAGAAAACGGAAGAUAAAAGAGAAGGCAGACCAUAUAUGAAUGGGUUCCUAUUCCCUGGAAAGAGCUGGAUAACCUGGAGUUUGGCACUUGUGACUCACCCAUGAGAUGAUGGAGAGGGAGGUAUUUCACAUGGUAUGCAUAGAAACCACCCUUCUAGGCCAGCUGAAAAGGAACAGAGAUCAUAGCCUAAAACCAUACUGCUGUAAGUGGGUACUUUACACCACCCACUGUGAGAGCAGCCUAGAAAGUCUUACUGGCAGAAACAGUGAAAUUUCUCUGAAGACUAGACGUCCACAAGGAAGCCACGUAAGUCAAACUAAACAAACAAGAGUAAAACUGGAUACUGAAUGAGAUGGCUCUGUCUUCUAUAUAUGUCACAUUUUAAAACAGCCAUAUUUUGGACAUUCUUUAGAGAGCUCAAAAUAUGUUUUAUAGGCUUUUGUUCUCUGUGCUUCUUUUGUGAACUCCUGUACCAGUGAAAUAUGUGAACAGUCUUCAGAAAUAGAAAAACGUGUACAGCUGACAUAAAUGUCUCGUCCUUUCCAGAUUGCACACUGGUCAUUAGAAUCUCUGUUGUGCUUUAGAACUAUUGAGAUCACAAGAGAGAUCAUGGAUAGGCUCAGAGUAAAUGGAUGAGAACCAGACCAGGAUACAACAAAUUCCUAGCACUAAAAGCAAUGGUCUGUUGGAUCUUAAACCUGUAAUAAACCAAGGGCCAACUAUUGCA
rnacentral:lncRNA from 1 species